AUGUGUUAUUCUAGCCUGUCUAUCUAUGGGUAACAGGGUUGAUGUGUUAUUCUAGCCUGUCUGUCUGUGGGUAACAGGGUUGAUGUGUUAUUCUAGCCUGUCUAUCUAUGGGUAACAGGGUCGAUGUGUUAUUCUAGCCUGUCUAUCUAUGGGUAACAGGGUUGAUGUGUUAUUCUAGCCUGUCUAUCUAUGGGUAACAGGGUCGAUGUGUUAUUCUAGCCUGUCUAUCUAUGGGUAACAGGGUUGAUGUGUUAUUCUAGCCUGUCUAUCUGUGGGUAACAGGGUUGAUGUGUUAUUCUAGCCUGUCUAUCUAUGGGUAACAGGGUUGACGUGUUAUUCUAGCCUGUCUAUCUAUGGGUAACAGGGUUGAAGUGUUAUUCUAGCCUGUCUAUCUAUGGGUAACAGGGUUGAUGUGUUAUUCUAGCCUGUCUAUCUAUAGGUAACAGGGUUGACGUGUUAUUCUAGCCUGUCUAUCUAUAGGUAACAGGGUUGACGUGUUAUUCUAGCCUGUCUAUCUAUGGGUAACAGGGUUGAUGUGUUAUUCUAGCCUGUCUAUCUAUGGGUAACAGGGUUGAUGUGUUAUUCUAGCCUGUCUAUCUAUGGGUAACAGGGUUUAUGUGUUAUUCUAGCCUGUCUAUCUAUGGGUAACAGGGUUGAUGUGUUAUUCUAGCCUGUCUAUCUGUGGGUAACAGGGUUGAUGUGUUAUUCUAGCCUGUCUAUCUAUAGGUAACAGGGUUGAUGUGUUAUUCUAGCCUGCCUAUCUGUGGGUAACAGGGUCGAUGUGUUAUUCUAGCCUGUCUAUCUAUGGGUAACAGGGUUGAUGUGUUAUUCUAGCCUGUCUAUCUGUGGGUAACAGGGUUGAUGUGUUAUUCUAGCCUGUCUAUCUAUGGGUAACAGGGUUGAUGUGUUAUUCUAGCCUGCCUAUCUGUGGGUAACAGGGUUGAUGUGUUAUUCUAGCCUGUCUAUCUAUGGGUAACAGGGUUGAUGUGUUAUUCUAGCCUGUCUAUCUGUGGGUAACAGGGUUGAUGUGUUAUUCUAGCCUGUCUAUCUAUAGGUAACAGGGUUGAUGUGUUAUUCUAGCCUGUCUAUCUAUAGGUAACAGGGUUGAUGUGUUAUUCUAGCCUGCCUAUCUGUGGGUAACAGGGUCGAUGUGUUAUUCUAGCCUGUCUAUCUAUGGGUAACAGGGUUGAUGUGUUAUUCUAGCCUGUCUAUCUGUGGGUAACAGGGUUGAUGUGUUAUUCUAGCCUGUCUAUCUAUGGGUAACAGGGUUGAUGUGUUAUUCUAGCCUGUCUAUCUAUAGGUAACAGGGUUGACGUGUUAUUCUAGCCUGUCUAUCUAUGGGUAACAGGGUUGAUGUGUUAUUCUAGCCUGUCUGUCUGUGGGUAACAGUGUUGAUGUGUUAUUCUAGCCUGUCUAUCUAUGGGUAACAGGGUUGAUGUGUUAUUCUAGCCUGUCUGUCUGUGGGUAACAGGGUUGAUGUGUUAUUCUAGCCUGUCUAUCUAUGGGUAACAGGGUUGAUGUGUUAUUCUAGCCUGUCUAUCUAUGGGUAACUGGGUUGAUGUGUUAUUCUAGCCUGUCUAUCUGUGGGUAACAGGGUUGAUGUGUUAUUCUAGCCUGUCUAUCUGUGGGUAACAGGGUUGAUGUGUUAUUCUAGCCUGUCUAUCUAUGGGUAACAGGGUUGAUGUGUUAUUCUAGCCUGUCUAUCUAUGGGUAACAGGGUUGAUGUGUUAUUCUAGCCUGUCUAUCUAUAGGUAACAGGGUUGACGUGUUAUUCUAGCCUGUCUAUCUAUGGGUAACAGGGUUGAUGUGUUAUUCUAGCCUGUCUGUCUGUGGGUAACAGUGUUGAUGUGUUAUUCUAGCCUGUCUAUCUAUGGGUAACAGGGUUGAUGUGUUAUUCUAGCCUGUCUGUCUGUGGGUAACAGGGUUGAUGUGUUAUUCUAGCCUGUCUAUCUAUGGGUAACAGGGUUGAUGUGUUAUUCUAGCCUGUCUAUCUAUGGGUAACUGGGUUGAUGUGUUAUUCUAGCCUGUCUAUCUGUGGGUAACAGGGUUGAUGUGUUAUUCUAGCCUGUCUAUCUGUGGGUAACAGGGUUGAUGUGUUAUUCUAGCCUGUCUAUCUAUGGGUAACAGGGUUGAUGUGUUAUUCUAGCCUGUCUAUCUAUAGGUAACAGGGUUGACGUGUUAUUCUAGCCUGUCUAUCUAUGGGUAACAGGGUUGAUGUGUUAUUCUAGCCUGUCUGUCUGUGGGUAACAGUGUUGAUGUGUUAUUCUAGCCUGUCUAUCUAUGGGUAACAGGGUUGAUGUGUUAUUCUAGCCUGUCUGUCUGUGGGUAACAGGGUUGAUGUGUUAUUCUAGCCUGUCUAUCUAUGGGUAACAGGGUUGAUGUGUUAUUCUAGCCUGUCUAUCUAUGGGUAACUGGGUUGAUGUGUUAUUCUAGCCUGUCUAUCUGUGGGUAACAGGGUUGAUGUGUUAUUCUAGCCUGUCUAUCUGUGGGUAACAGGGUUGAUGUGUUAUUCUAGCCUGUCUAUCUAUGGGUAACAGGGUUGAUGUGUUAUUCUAGCCUGUCUAUCUAUGGGUAACAGGGUUGAUGUGUUAUUCUAGCCUGUCUAUCUAUAGGUAACAGGGUUGACGUGUUAUUCUAGCCUGUCUAUCUAUGGGUAACAGGGUUGAUGUGUUAUUCUAGCCUGUCUGUCUGUGGGUAACAGUGUUGAUGUGUUAUUCUAGCCUGUCUAUCUAUGGGUAACAGGGUUGAUGUGUUAUUCUAGCCUGUCUGUCUGUGGGUAACAGGGUUGAUGUGUUAUUCUAGCCUGUCUAUCUAUGGGUAACAGGGUUGAUGUGUUAUUCUAGCCUGUCUAUCUAUGGGUAACUGGGUUGAUGUGUUAUUCUAGCCUGUCUAUCUGUGGGUAACAGGGUUGAUGUGUUAUUCUAGCCUGUCUAUCUGUGGGUAACAGGGUUGAUGUGUUAUUCUAGCCUGUCUAUCUAUGGGUAACAGGGUUGAUGUGUUAUUCUAGCCUGUCUAUCUAUGGGUAACAGGGUUGAUGUGUUAUUCUAGCCUGUCUAUCUAUGGGUAACAGGGUUGAUGUGUUAUUCUAGCCUGUCUAUCUGUGGGUAACAGGGUUGAUGUGUUAUUCUAGCCUGUCUAUCUAUAGGUAACAGGGUUGAUGUGUUAUUCUAGCCUGUCUAUCUAUAGGUAACAGGGUUGAUGUGUUAUUCUAGCCUGUCUAUCUAUAGGUAACAGGGUUGAUGUGUUAUUCUAGCCUGUCUAUCUAUGGGUAACAGGGUUGAUGUGUUAUUCUAGCCUGUCUAUCUAUAGGUAACAGUGUUGAUGUGUUAUUCUAGCCUGUCUAUCUAUAGGUAACAGGGUUGACGUGUUAUUCUAGCCUGUCUAUCUGUGGGUAACAGGGUUGAUGUGUUAUUCUAGCCUGUCUAUCUAUAGGUAACAGGGUUGACGUGUUAUUCUAGCCUGUCUAUCUAUGGGUAACAGGGUUGAUGUGUUAUUCUAGCCUGUCUAUCUAUGGGUAACAGGGUUGAUGUGUUAUUCUAGCCUGUCUAUCUAUAGGUAACAGGGUUGACGUGUUAUUCUAGCCUGUCUAUCUAUGGGUAACAGGGUUGAUGUGUUAUUCUAGCCUGUCUAUCUAUGGGUAACAGGGUUGACGUGUUAUUCUAGCCUGUCUAUCUAUGGGUAACAGGGUUGAUGUGUUAUUCUAGCCUGUCUGUCUGUGGGUAACAGGGUUGAUGUGUUAUUCUAGCCUGCCUAUCUAUAGGUAACAGGGUUGAUGUGUUAUUCUAGCCUGUCUAUCUGUGGGUAACAGGGUUGAUGUGUUAUUCUAGCCUGUCUAUCUAUGGGUAACAGGGUUGAUGUGUUAUUCUAGCCUGUCUAUCUAUAGGUAACAGGGUUGACGUGUUAUUCUAGCCUGUCUAUCUAUGGGUAACAGGGUUGAUGUGUUAUUCUAGCCUGUCUGUCUGUGGGUAACAGUGUUGAUGUGUUAUUCUAGCCUGUCUAUCUAUGGGUAACAGGGUUGAUGUGUUAUUCUAGCCUGUCUGUCUGUGGGUAACAGGGUUGAUGUGUUAUUCUAGCCUGUCUAUCUAUGGGUAACAGGGUUGAUGUGUUAUUCUAGCCUGUCUAUCUAUGGGUAACUGGGUUGAUGUGUUAUUCUAGCCUGUCUAUCUGUGGGUAACAGGGUUGAUGUGUUAUUCUAGCCUGUCUAUCUGUGGGUAACAGGGUUGAUGUGUUAUUCUAGCCUGUCUAUCUAUGGGUAACAGGGUUGAUGUGUUAUUCUAGCCUGUCUAUCUAUGGGUAACAGGGUUGAUGUGUUAUUCUAGCCUGUCUAUCUAUAGGUAACAGGGUUGACGUGUUAUUCUAGCCUGUCUAUCUAUGGGUAACAGGGUUGAUGUGUUAUUCUAGCCUGUCUGUCUGUGGGUAACAGUGUUGAUGUGUUAUUCUAGCCUGUCUAUCUAUGGGUAACAGGGUUGAUGUGUUAUUCUAGCCUGUCUAUCUAUAGGUAACAGGGUUGACGUGUUAUUCUAGCCUGUCUAUCUAUGGGUAACAGGGUUGAUGUGUUAUUCUAGCCUGUCUAUCUAUGGGUAACAGGGUUGACGUGUUAUUCUAGCCUGUCUAUCUAUGGGUAACAGGGUUGAUGUGUUAUUCUAGCCUGUCUGUCUGUGGGUAACAGGGUUGAUGUGUUAUUCUAGCCUGCCUAUCUAUAGGUAACAGGGUUGAUGUGUUAUUCUAGCCUGUCUAUCUGUGGGUAACAGGGUUGAUGUGUUAUUCUAGCCUGUCUAUCUAUGGGUAACAGGGUUGAUGUGUUAUUCUAGCCUGUCUAUCUAUAGGUAACAGGGUUGACGUGUUAUUCUAGCCUGUCUAUCUAUGGGUAACAGGGUUGAUGUGUUAUUCUAGCCUGUCUGUCUGUGGGUAACAGUGUUGAUGUGUUAUUCUAGCCUGUCUAUCUAUGGGUAACAGGGUUGAUGUGUUAUUCUAGCCUGUCUGUCUGUGGGUAACAGGGUUGAUGUGUUAUUCUAGCCUGUCUAUCUAUGGGUAACAGGGUUGAUGUGUUAUUCUAGCCUGUCUAUCUAUGGGUAACUGGGUUGAUGUGUUAUUCUAGCCUGUCUAUCUGUGGGUAACAGGGUUGAUGUGUUAUUCUAGCCUGUCUAUCUGUGGGUAACAGGGUUGAUGUGUUAUUCUAGCCUGUCUAUCUAUGGGUAACAGGGUUGAUGUGUUAUUCUAGCCUGUCUAUCUAUGGGUAACAGGGUUGAUGUGUUAUUCUAGCCUGUCUAUCUAUAGGUAACAGGGUUGACGUGUUAUUCUAGCCUGUCUAUCUAUGGGUAACAGGGUUGAUGUGUUAUUCUAGCCUGUCUGUCUGUGGGUAACAGUGUUGAUGUGUUAUUCUAGCCUGUCUAUCUAUGGGUAACAGGGUUGAUGUGUUAUUCUAGCCUGUCUGUCUGUGGGUAACAGGGUUGAUGUGUUAUUCUAGCCUGUCUAUCUAUGGGUAACAGGGUUGAUGUGUUAUUCUAGCCUGUCUAUCUAUGGGUAACUGGGUUGAUGUGUUAUUCUAGCCUGUCUAUCUGUGGGUAACAGGGUUGAUGUGUUAUUCUAGCCUGUCUAUCUGUGGGUAACAGGGUUGAUGUGUUAUUCUAGCCUGUCUAUCUAUGGGUAACAGGGUUGAUGUGUUAUUCUAGCCUGUCUAUCUAUGGGUAACAGGGUUGAUGUGUUAUUCUAGCCUGUCUAUCUAUGGGUAACAGGGUUGAUGUGUUAUUCUAGCCUGUCUAUCUGUGGGUAACAGGGUUGAUGUGUUAUUCUAGCCUGUCUAUCUAUAGGUAACAGGGUUGAUGUGUUAUUCUAGCCUGUCUAUCUAUAGGUAACAGGGUUGAUGUGUUAUUCUAGCCUGUCUAUCUAUAGGUAACAGGGUUGAUGUGUUAUUCUAGCCUGUCUAUCUAUAGGUAACAGGGUUGAUGUGUUAUUCUAGCCUGUCUAUCUAUAGGUAACAGGGUUGACGUGUUAUUCUAGCCUGUCUAUCUAUGGGUAACAGGGUUGAUGUGUUAUUCUAGCCUGUCUAUCUAUGGGUAACAGGGUCGAUGUGUUAUUCUAGCCUGUCUAUCUAUAGGUAACAGGGUUGAUGUGUUAUUCUAGCCUGUCUAUCUAUGGGUAACAGGGUUGAUGUGUUAUUCUAGCCUGUCUAUCUAUAGGUAACAGGGUUGAUGUGUUAUUCUAGCCUGUCUAUCUAUGGGUAACAGGGUUGAUGUGUUAUUCUAGCCUGUCUAUCUAUAGGUAACAGGGUUGAUGUGUUAUUCUAGCCUGUCUAUCUAUAGGUAACAGGGUUGAUGUGUUAUUCUAGCCUGUCUAUCUAUGGGUAACAGGGUUGAUGUGUUAUUCUAGCCUGUCUAUCUAUAGGUAACAGGGUUGAUGUGUUAUUCUAGCCUGUCUAUCUAUAGGUAACAGGGUUGAUGUGUUAUUCUAGCCUGUCUAUCUAUGGGUAACAGGGUUGAUGUGUUAUUCUAGCCUGUCUAUCUAUAGGUAACAGGGUUGAUGUGUUAUUCUAGCCUGUCUAUCUAUAGGUAACAGGGUUGAUGUGUUAUUCUAGCCUGUCUAUCUAUGGGUAACAGGGUUGAUGUGUUAUUCUAGCCCGUCUAUCUAUGGGUAACAGGGUUGACGUGUUAUUCUAGCCUGUCUAUCUAUGGGUAACAGGGUUGAUGUGUUAUUCUAGCCUGUCUAUCUAUGGGUAACAGGGUUGAUGUGUUAUGCUCGACCCGCUCAGUUUUCCACCACAAAACAAAAUGAGAAGAACCAGCUGACCUGCUUUUACACUAUGAUUCUACUAUUAGAUGUUUAAUGUUUCUUUUGAUUUUUUUUUUUAAAUAAAUCAUUUUGCCAUAUUAAAAUGAGUAAAAUGAGGGACAGACUAAUCACAUGAAAUAAUUAGUCAUCUUCAGAAAUGUCUAAGCUACAACACUUAGUGAAAUUGUGGGGAUAAGUGGGUUCAAAUAUUCCUAAAAGUCACAGAGGGUGCAAAGACUUUGGCAAGUCUUUAUUCAUAUAAACAUCUGAUAGAUUCCCCAUGUGGUGUAAAUUAAAAGGAAUUUAAUUUAAUAUAAGACUAUUUGAAUAUAUUGGUGCACAAUCUUUACUUAAAAUAUCAAUGGGACGUAAAAGGCACUCAUUUCGUGGAAUAACCCAGUGGCAGGCAGGAGGAAUGGCAGGGAUCAAGGACCAGGGAUCAGUGAUCAGGGACCAGGGAUCAGGGAUCAAGGAUCAGGGACCAGGGAUCAUGGACCGGUGAUCAGUGAUCAGGGACCAGGGAUCAGGAACCAGGGAUCAAGGAUCAGCGAUCAAGGACCAGGGAUCAGGGACCAGGGAUCGAGGAUCAGGGAUCAGGGACCAGGGAUCAGGAUCAGGGAUCAAGGAUCAGGGACCAGGGAUCAGGGAUCAGGAUCAGGGACCAGGGAUCAAGGAUCAGGAUCAGGGAUCAAGGAUCAAGGAACAGGGACCAGGGAUCAGGGACCAGGGAUCAGGGAUCAAUGAUCAGGGAUCAGGAUCAGGGACCAGGGAUCAGGAUCAGGGACCAGGGAUCAGGGAUCAGGGACCAGGGAUCAAGGAUCAGGGAACAGGGAUCAGGGAUCAGGGAUCAAGGAUCAGGGAUCAGG